GUACCGGUACAGAGUUAAUGUGGGGGCUAUAUACAGGGGGUACUGGUACAGAGUCAAUGUGGAGGCUAUAUACAGGGGGUACUGGUACAGAGUCAAUGUGGAGGCUAUAUACAGGGGGUACUGAUACAGAGUCAAUGUGGAGGCUAUAUACAGGGGGUACUGGUACAGAGUCAAUGUGGAGGCUAUAUACAGGGGUACUGGUACAGAGUCAAUGUGGAGGCUAUAUACAGGGGGUACUGGUACAGAGUCAAUGUGGAGGCUAUAUACAGGGGGUACUGGUACAGAGUCAAUGUGGAGGCUAUAUACAGGGGGUACUGGUACAGAGUCAAUGUGGAGGCUAUAUACAGGGGGUACUGGUACAGAGUCAAUGUGGAGGCUAUAUACAGGGGUACUGGUACAGAGUCAAUGUGGAGGCUAUAUACAGGGGGUACUGGUACAGAGUCAAUGUGGAGACUAUAUACAGGGGGUACCGGUACAGAGUCAAUGUGGAGACUAUAUACAGGGGGUACUG
ensembl:lncRNA